CUAAAUUUCCAUAUGUAUUUGUAUAUUUGAACUUUAUAUUCUACUUCAUUAAGCCCUAUAUGUGGAUUUUUAAAAUAACAUUCUAUUUCAAUUAGUAUAGCAUCACACUUUGUCUUACUAACUGAGGAGGAAAUUCUCCUUCUCUGAAUUUGAAGAUUUCCUGAAGCCUGAGUUAGCUGCAGUAUUGUAUUUGGCCUCUAGAGGGAGAUGUUACACAAAUUGAAUUUGAUAGCCAAAAACAACCUGAUCUUUUUGAAGAACAGCUUUUUGCUUUACAUGCUGGGCAAACUCAUCCACUUCUCUAUCAGAGUGUCUGUGUGGCCGAAUUGUUUCCAGAAAAGACCUCCAGAAAAUAGCUUCCUGUUUCUCCACCGCUCAGACAUGAAGCCCACCCUCAUCUCAGUGCUUGUGAUAAUAUUUAUACUCAGAGGAACAAGAGCCCAGAGUGUGACUCAGCCCGAGAAGCUCCUCUCUGUCUUUAAAGGGGCCCCAGUGGAGCUGAAGUGCUACUAUUCAUAUUCUGGGAGUCCUGAUCUCUUCUGGUAUGUCCAGUACCCCAAACAACGCCUCCAGUUACUCUUGAGACACAUCUCUAGAGACAGCAUCAAAGGCUUCACUGCUGACCUUAACAAAAGCGAUACAUCUUUCCAUCUGAAGAAACUAUUCGCUCAAGAGGAAGACUCAGCCACGUAUUACUGUGCUCUAAGUGGCACAGUAGCUGGUUUUGCAAGGAAGCAGAACACAAACCCUUUAGUCACAGGAAAUAUUUCUUUGUAA